AUACGUAGGUGGCAAGCGUUGUCCGGAAUUAUUGGGCGUAAAGCGCGUGUAGGCGGUGCCUUAAGUCUGUCGUGAAACUGCGGGGCCUAACCCCGUAUGGCGAUGGAAACUGUGGCACUUGAGUGCAGGAGAGGAAAGGGGAACUCCCAGUGUAGCGGUGAAAUGCGUAGAUAUUGGGAAGAACACCGGUGGCGAAGGCGCCUUUCUGGACUGUGUCUGCCGCUGAUAUGCGAAAGCCAGGGUGGCGAACGGGAUUAGAUACCCCGGUAGUCCUGGCCGUAAACGAUGGGUACUAGGUGUGGGAGGUAUCGACCCCUUCCGUGCCGGAGUUAACGCAAUAAGUACCCCGCCUGGGGAGUACGGCCGCAAGGCUUAAACUCAAAUGAAUUGACGGGG
rnacentral:rRNA from 1 species